AAGUCGUAACAAGAUUUCCGUAGGUGAACCUGCGGAAGGAUCAUUAUCGUACAACAGAGGUGCGAGGGCUGUCGCUGACCUUUCCAAAGGUCGUGCACGCCCGAGUGCUCUCGACUACAAUCCACCUCACCCCUUGUGCACAACCGCGUGAGGUCUCCCCUUUGGCUCGUUCCGAGGGAGGCUCACGUUUUUCAUACAAACACCCUUUUAGUUUGGAAUGUCAUUCAUUUGCGAUCACACACGCAAUCAAUACAACUUUCAACAACGGAUCUCUUGGCUCUCCCAUCGAUGAAGAACGCAGCGAAAUGCGAUAAGUAAUGUGAAUUGCAGAAUUCAGUGAAUCAUCGAAUCUUUGAACGCACCUUGCGCCCUUUGGUAUUCCGAAGGGCAUGCCUGUUUGAGUGUCAUUAAAUUCUCAACCUUGUAAGCUUUUUUGCUUGCUAGGCUUGGAUGUGAGGGUUGCUGGCUUCCUUCAGUGGAUGGUCUGCUCCCUUCAAAUUUAUUAGUGGGAUCCUUUGUGGAUGGUCACUUGGUGUGAUAAUUAUCUACGCCGCUCGACUUGAAGCAAAACUUGUGGGAACCCGCUCAUAACCGUCUCUCUCUCGAGACAAUCUUGACAAUUUGACCUCAAAUCAGGUAGGACUACCCGCUGAACUUAA
rnacentral:rRNA from 1 species